rnacentral:rRNA from 1 species
UACGAAGGGGGCUAGCGUUGCUCGGAAUUACUGGGCGUAAAGUGCACGUAGGCGGUCUUUUAAGUCGGGGGUGAAAUCCUGGAGCUCAACUCCAGAACUGCCUUCGAUACUGGAAGACUUGAGUCCGGGAGAGGUGAGUGGAACUGCGAGUGUAGAGGUGAAAUUCGUAGAUAUUCGCAAGAACACCAGUGGCGAAGGCGGCUCACUGGCCCGGUACUGACGCUGAGGUGCGAAAGCGUGGGGAGCAAACAGG